AGAUUGAACGCUGGCGGCAGGCCUAACACAUGCAAGUCGAGCGGCAGCACGGGUACUUGUACCUGGUGGCGAGCGGCGGACGGGUGAGUAAUGCCUAGGAAUCUGCCUGGUAGUGGGGGAUAACGCUCGGAAACGGACGCUAAUACCGCAUACGUCCUACGGGAGAAAGCAGGGGACCUUCGGGCCUUGUGCUAUCAGAUGAGCCUAGGUCGGAUUAGCUAGUUGGUGAGGUAAUGGCUCACCAAGGCGACGAUCCGUAACUGGUCUGAGAGGAUGAUCAGUCACACUGGAACUGAGACACGGUCCAGACUCCGGUACGGGAC
rnacentral:rRNA from 1 species